UUUAGUACGAGAGGAACCGUUGAUUCAGAUAUUUGGUUUUGGCGCUUGGUUGAGAAGCUAUUGGCGCGGAGCUACCAUCUGUUUGGAAGAUUAUGGCUGAACGCCUCUAAGCCAGAAACCCUGCUAGAAACGACGAUAACUACUUUUUUCGGUUUCGUACUCAGGUAAAAGUAAAAACGUAUACAUUUUCUCUGCUCUUAAAAAAAAUUUUUUUUUUUUUUUUAUUUUUUUCUUUUUUUU
rnacentral:rRNA from 12 species